rnacentral:tRNA from 1 species
UGGCCGCCGGGUCGGUCGCCGCGGCCGCGAACGUCUCCGGGACGGUCGAGGCCGGGUUCGGUGCCGAGGCGGUCCU